UACGGAGGGUGCAAGCGUUAUCCGGAUUCACUGGGUUUAAAGCGUGCGCAGGCGGUUGUGUAAGCCAGAUGUGAAAUCCCCGGGCUUAACCUGGGAAUGGCAUUUGGGACUGCACGGCUAGAGUACGGCAGAGGAGACUAGAAUUCCUGGUGUAGCAGUGAAAUGCGUAGAUAUCAGGAGGAAUACCGAUGGCGAAGGCAGGUCUCUGGGUCGAUACUGACGCUCAUGCACGAAAGCGUGGGGAGCAAACAGG
rnacentral:rRNA from 1 species